AGUGAGUCAAUGUUUUUUGGCCAGGGGAUCCCUGGGGGUCCUCCCCUGGCAAGGUGAGAGCCAGCAUUAGUGGGAGGUGGGACAGAGAGCAGCACAGAGGUGUCCCAGGUGGAUUGGGCUGCACCGUGUCCUAUCUCAGCCCACUGAACUCUGGGCUGCACCACCUGAGUACCUGGGAUGCCCCUUUCCCUGCAAGGAAAGCCUCCUGCUGCAAAGAGGCCCAGCAGCAACAGGAGCAGGGCCCUGUACCUUGAUGUGCUCCUGCUUCCUGCAGUGCCUUGUGCUAUCAGCAGGCUGAGAGGCAGCUUGGACACUGCCCUCCCACUCAGACAUCCUCCUCGUAAACAUCCUGUCCCGCUGAAGCCCGGUGCUGUCACGUCCUCACUGCUCCACAGCAGACAUUGUUCUGGGUUUCAUUCUCCUACAUGCAAAGCACACAGUUGUGCGUGUAGAAAGCCAGGCAGACAGCAGGACAGAACCUGGCAGUAACUCUUGGUUAAGCUGCUGACAUGCCAGAAGUACUGCAGAGGAAGGGAGUUCUCUAAGGGUCUUAAAAUUAACUAAAAUCAUCUGCUCGAGCCCUCCUUGGAAAACCAAUUCCCUCUCCUAGGCAUGUUUAGCAGCUAUACCUUACUCCAAGCAGGUGCAAACCUGUGUGUAUGACAAGAAGAACCUUUGUAAUCAUGGAAAGUAGCAGAACAGUGGACUGGAAGCUGAGCUGGAGUAAGUUUACACAAGCGGCAAGUAAAACACCCAUCCCCAGUGAGUCAGGUCCGGCUGUUUCCUUCAUUUCCUCCAAGGCUUGCUGGGAACAUCCAGCGGUAACGGCCCUUCGUCUCCUUUCCUGCCCCUUGUUUACAGCUCUCCCUCGGGAGGGAGCAGAGUCCCAGCAUCCAGCACUGCAUUUUCACUGCAGCACACAGGGAAGUGCGGACUCCCCCAGGCCUCAGCUCAGCUUCGGUACCACAGUGCACUUGUUGCAUUUGUAGGUGCCAGUGCCAGCACCUCCUCGAGCGACAGCAGCUGCUCGACCAAAAGAGGAAAAAAGGUCACAUUUCCACAGUUUGCUCAUGGGUUUUUUUUUUGUUUUUAUCUUGAAUACAGCCUUACGAUUGAUGGGGGUUCUCUGUUCUCCAAAGCCAUUGCUUUGGAUUCAGUCCGGUAGGGCAGAAGGGAUACACUGGAAUAUUACGCUGUUGGAGUGUGCAGACCAUCUCUCGGGGAUAUGGCUUUGAGCUUCCCUGGUUCAGAUGAAGGAAGUCCCUCAUUUGUGGAAGUGAGCUUGGGCCGGACUUAGUCUGGGAAUCUGCUUCCGUGCCAGCUAUAGGUGCAGUUUUAAGGGUGAAUUCCUGCUGUUGUCUGGCAGAGCCCUCACUUAUCCCACAGUUAAUCUUCGCUCAAGAUGAGGAUGGGCUGAUAAUACACCUUUCUCUGAAAGCUGUGGUUUCAAAAAUUCAGCAGUUUCACUCCUGUGAUUUUGCAGUUUGUCUUCUGGAAGGGAUGUGUGGAAUAGAAACAAUGAAGAAGUAAGACCAAAGAAGACAGAAGCCCAGAGGCAAAAAAGACUCCCAACCUGCGUGCAGAGGAGCUUGACAGAGAAGAGGCUGUGCAUGGACAGUGGUACUGAUGACAAAUCCCCUUUGGUCCCUUUGGCUGUUCAGCCAUUAAUCUUUGGGAAAAGUGAGUGGCAGGAGCCUUUGCUGGAAGUGGCUGUGGGGCACAGCAAGCCUUGGCCAGGAGGAGCAGAAGAUAUUUUGCCGACUGAGUCAUGGUAUUAAAUGUGCUUUUUACAGUGAAAUUCAUUGUAAGAGUGAAGCAGGUCAUUGGUAUUUAAUCUGAACCAGAGUUGUGCAACUUCAAGUGACUCUGCAGGAGAUGGGUUCCCAUGAUAGGUUCCUCAUCCAGGGCUAUGAAGCUCUUCCAGGCAAAACAUGUCCUUGUGGUUACGCCUUUUCUUUCAUUUCUUCUUGCUUACGUAGAAAACCUGUAUGUGUAACAAUUUGAAAGGCUUUUAAAAUUUCUUAAA